GCCUAGCUUGCUAAGCUUGUUUUUAGUGGCGCACGGGUGAGUAACACGUGAGUUACCUGCCCCCAAGAGUGGGAUAGCCCCGGGAAACUGGGAUUAAUACCGCAUAAUAUCGCAAGAUUAAAGGUGCAAACCGCUUGGGGAUGGGCUCGCGGCCUAUUAGUUAGUUGGUGAGGUAACGGCUCACCAAGGCGAUGACGGGUAGCCGGUCUGAGAGGAUGUCCGGCCACACUGGAACUGAGACACGGUCCAGACACCUACGGGUGGCAGCAGUCGAGAAUCAUUCACAAUGGGGGAAACCCUGAUGGUGCGACGCCGCGUGGGGGAGCGAAGGUCUUCGGAUUGUAAACCCCUGUCAAGUGGGAGCAAAUUAAAAAGAUAGUACCACUAGAGGAAGAGACGGCUAACUCUGUGCCAGCAGCCGCGGUAAUACAGAGGUCUCAAGCGUUGUUCGGAAUCACUGGGCGUAAAGCGUACGUAGGCGGCUUGGUAAGUCGUGUGUGAAAGGCAGGGGCUCAACCUCUGGACUGCACAUGAUACUGCCAGGCUAGAGUAAUGGAGGGGAAACCGGAAUUCUCGGUGUAGCAGUGAAAUGCGUAGAUAUCGAGAGGAACACUCGUGGCGAAGGCGGGUUUCUGGACAUUAACUGACGCUGA
rnacentral:rRNA from 1 species